UGGGAUCACCGCAUCGCUGGCCUAAUGCUGGCUUCACCAAGGAAGAAUCUGACGUGCAGUCCUGAAUGUGGCCUGUCAUCUUUACCUCUUUCCCCACUGUAGAGCCAGCAAUCGCCGCAUGCUGAUGGGAGCAAAUUGUCCGUGAGAUGCUGCCUGCUGCUGUCAAAGGCAAGAGCCUGCAAAGAAGUCGUGGACUGAAAAUGAGCCAGCUGAGGGUCUGCCCUCCUUCUCCCCAUCCUCAGGCAGCUUAUCGUUUUGCAAGGCACCUGGUGGAAGCAGUUCCUUCGUCGCCCUUUGGAAAUGCCGCGGGUGACCCAGCGUGACGUAUCCUCCGCGGCGCUGCGCUCUCCGCCUGGCGAACGGGCGGACGCUUCAGAACACGCAGUCCUCCAGGGCGCUGGAGUAGAAGUCCUCAGCAAAACUUCCCAGCUCCGUCUCCGUUUCGCUGGUGCAGAUGACUUUCCCACAGUGGCUGUUUGGUGACCCUGCUGGUGGACUGUGCGGGAUACAGAAGAGAGAGGAGUAUCUGCUGGUGGCUGGGAUGGCCAUGCUGUUAUCAGGGCUCUUUGCAGGGGGUAAUUGUGUAAUAACCAAGUACUUGCUGAAUCUUACGGACAGUAAGUGACCACUCAUCUACUAGUUGGACACCAGUGCACACACAGAAUCAAAGAAACUUUUGAUGGUUUCUCAGAUGUUUGUUUUGGUGUUCCAGGUCAUUUGUGGAUUUUUAUCCAUAUAAUUAUGGAUUCUGUGGCAAAAAUGACAUACAGUUCUUCAUUGUAUGGAUUGUGGGAGUAUUACUGGUGCCCUUGUGCUAUCAGAGUUCCUUUGCUUUGACUCAGCAAGGAAGCUCUUCUAGGAGGCCUCUGACAGUGUCUUGCAGAUUUUUGUAUUCUAGGACACUUCUGUGGAUGGGCUUGGGGACACAAAUGUCCAAAACAAGCAGUCAAGUCUGAGAUCUUUGAAGAACUCCACAGGAAAACAUGGAGCCUCAUGACUGCUGCUGCCAAUAUGUGAAUUCACUGCUAACUGGUACUGGAAGGUGAUGUUUGGCUGCCCCAAACAGAGAGGAGGCUGCUGGUCAAGAUAACACUGGAACAGUGGAGGACCUACAGAUAUAAGGACAGGUCGAUCCAUAAAGGAAUCAGUGAUUUAAGGAAGAGUGGUUUGAGGACUUCCACUAAUCCAUCAAGGCUGCUUAGUUAGGCACAAGUUAGUAUGAGGCACAAAGUGAAUAAACUCUCUGUAGAGUUAAUCUUGUUCCAAAGAGGAUUGCUUAUUGAGACCUGCUAUGCUAACUAAAUUGACUUAAGAACAGGUUAUCAUAGAUAAUAGACACUUUACGGAGAAUUAAUUACAGUUAUUCUAAUACAACAUGACUGCAGACAAGACCUUUAUUUAAUAAAUGAAAUGUAGUAUGGAAAGGAAAACAGCUAAAGACACAUCAGAAUGGCCAAUAAUUUAAAAAGCUUUAAAUAAAUUAAUAAAAAAUUAGCAGAUGCAAGGACAGCACUUACCUUACUGGGAGCUGUGUUGAUUGUGGACCUGAUAAUUGAUGCUUGCUAUAUGUUUCAGGGAAGAAGCUUGUAAUUAUAUCAUUGAUUCUUUAAUUCAUCACUUAUGACCUGACUAGUCACUGCUACAGAAAUCCAAAGCAUAUCUGGGUUUCUUUACGGAACAUUUUGGGAAGCUUGCCUACAUGAUACCUGUUUUCACUACCUGGCAUCCGUAAAGUCUGUAGUGAUUAAAAGUAAGCUGCAACAAAUAGUUAAAAAACUCUUAACAAACAGUAGUCAAAUGCAUUUGCUGCUGUUAAGGGGUAAAGAGGAGCAGCAAACACAAAGGCCCUGGAUUUUUACCUCCACAGAGCAUAUACCACACUCCCUGACAUCACCUGAAAUUCAGACUACAUGCACAGGGGGCCCAAGAUAGAGUGUAGAUGUGCAGGCUGAAGAAGACAAGACUGAGAAUGUAUUGGCCUGUACACUUUAGCCAUGAAAGAUUAUCUCAGCAGCUUUCACCGGGGUUAAAGAUGGAAUCCUCCUGUGAUAAUCAUUGACCCAACUAGAUCCAUUUAACUGAGAAAAGGAGAUAAGGACAAAUAGCUUUUUGACAAGUUCACCUCACUCGGUAUAUGGUUUUGUUGUUUAAAAUUAAACUGAAUAACCUUCUUACCCCACCAGUUUUGUUGAAUGUUAUUACUGAUAAUUAAUGAGGCUGAUUAUCACAUAUUCAGGACUUUUGUUUUGUAUAAUUAUGCUUGAAUACCAAACUCGGUGCCCUCUCUGAAAAUUAAGCAAUGCUUUUCAUGUCACCCCACAUCUGUUCAGUACCUAGUAUUUAGUUAGACUGUAAUUAGAAAGAAGAUGUUGAUACUUACAUUUUGCGUAUUAUUGCAACAAGCAAGGCUAUGGAGCAUGAGGACACGCAAAGCACAGCAAGAAUCCAGGCUACAGAAUCCUCCUGUUUGUUUCCUCCUGAAUUUCAAGAAAAAAGAAAUUAGAUAUAUUUUUAGUGUAGAUCAUUUCAAACACACUUUUAGAAAAGAUUUCAUCAGCUGGUUUCUAUGAUUAUAUUCAAACAAUCACAAUUUAACAAGCAAAUUGUGAACGUUUCAUAUCUAGAAUUAGAAAAUAAACUUACAGCUUCAAGAAUUGUUUCCAUGGCACUGACUUUCUGCUUUCAUUAAUAGAUUUAUUUCAUUUUAAUAUGAAGGAGAAAGCAAGCUCAGAAGUGAGAGGAGCCAGGCCUGUGAGCAGCGCUAGGAUAUGAUCAGUGAAAACCAGGAAGUGAAGAAACUCAAAAGAUAAGAGCAAGGGAGGAUGUAUAAGAACAAACAGUUGAUAACGUGCCGUGAUAAGAAAACUGUUAUUUCCAGAAAAACAUGUUCAGCAAGCAGGAAAUACAGAAUGAAGUGAGGCGAAUCAUCAUGUUCCAAAGAUGCUAAACCAUCUUGUGUUUUUCCAAAUUUAAGAGUUCAUAUAGUUUCAGUAAAGUAAUACUUGACGUGACCAUUCAUAUUAACUUCCAGCAUGAACGUCACCGUGUUUGCCAGGGAAAUACAUGCAAAAACUAAAGAAAUAAUACAGGUAAAAAGCUCGCUUGGGGGUAGUUUGUUACAGACAUAAAAGAUGUCCAGAAAAAGAGGAAGAUUUUGAAAAUUGAUGAGACUUUGUCUUUGCUGAACCCUAAUGGGACGGAAGUUUCACUGAAGUCCGUAGCUUCAAAAAGGCAGCAAUAGCAGGUUUGAUUUUAAAGCAUUUUAAAUUGUGAUGUGUCCAUGAAUCUGAAGACUUUUUCAUCAGAUUGCAGCUUCUAGCUAUAUAGAUAGGACAGUCAACUCAGAGACAGGAUCACGAUGUAAAACCUAGGCAUAAGAGAAGUAAUUACCUGCUUGCUACCUGACUUCAAGUUGCAGAGGCAAAAUUCGUAUUCAAAACAUUCUUCAGGGAAAGAAGAAAUUGGCUUCUCCCACUUGGCCAAGAGAUCAUUUUGCUCUAAGAAUACAGUGACAUUUCUGGGAACGUUCACUUUUUCUACAAAAUGAAAGCAGUACCAGUAAGUUAUUUACUGAACAAAGUUUAAAUACUAAUAAUUGGAGCAAUUUAUAACUUGAUAUUGUGUCCUAGUAGGGCCUAUAAUGCUUCAAUUUACUUGACAUUUGGGGCAGAAAAGAUAAGGGUUUAGGAGGAAUAACUAUAUCAGGGAAAAUAAAUAAGGGAAAACAGUUUUAAAAAUCCACUUAAAAGGUUUGGAAAACUAGAUUACAGAGGGGGAAUAAUGUAUUUUUUUAAUUCUUUUUUACAAAAGCAUGAAAUUAAUGAUAGACCCAGCCAGAAAAUCUUCUUUUCAGGAAAGAUGGAUGUAACCAGGAAAGUUACUGAAAACUGGAAUAAAUUCAAAAAAAAUGGUUCAACAGUUAGGGGAUGUUUUCAAAGAAGAAAGUAUGUCAAAUGUUUUAUUCCAUUAAGCAAGAAAAAAGGGAAAUGCUAUCUGCUUUCAAAAAGCAAAAGGUAUAGAACUAAUGAAGGAAAGGAAAUUAUUUGGGUAGAUGAAAUGUGAUAGGCAGUCAUGGCUGCAUACUCCCUUUUAUUUUACAGUCUAAUGCCUUUUUUUUAAAGGGCAUUGUUGGCCUGAACAUCAUCUGUCUUUUUUUCUUUUAAAGAAAGGCCUUAUACUGUAUAAUAAAAGGUAGUAAAAACUGUACCUGAAGGUAUAUUGAAUAAAUAUAGAAAAGGCAUACUGGAAAUAAUGCUUUGGCUAUGAAACAGAUUAAAUAGGUGUUUUCUAGCUCUUCUUAUUUUUGUCAUUCUCAUUCUCACAUUCUCAUUGUCAUUUUGUCAGUUAGUUAAACUAUCAACUUUUGUCUUACCAGCUUUUCCAGUUUCAUUAAGACAUCCAUGUGAAACCAGCACUUGCUUUCACCUGCACCAAGAACCAUUCAAUCCACUAAUACUAUUUAACAAAUCUUUUGACACUCCUGCUUGACAGUUGAAAUUUAGUGCAGAAAGAAGUUCUUUUUAGUUUCCCUACAACCAUUUCACUAAGAGGAAGAAAGUUAUACUGACACUUUUUAUGAUUUUUUAAAAAUGUAUUUUUACUCACCAAUGGCAUUUUGGUUAAAUAACUGCUGAAAAGGUUUAAUUGCAGCAUACUUGCUAGACCCAUUAAUGUGUAUUACAAUGAGAUUGUCAACCUCUUCAGGAUCAAUAUGUGUCCUUGAAAAUCUGCACUCAAUAUUCCUGUUCCACUUGCCUUUGAUAUAAUCUUGACAUUCUUCAGUGUAGGUCUUAUACCUAAAUUAAAAUAUCUGUGAGACAUGAUGCUUUUCAAGAAAUUCAUUGCUAACUAAAAUAGGAGGAGACACUAACCUGUAAAACAGAAAGUACUCUGUAUCUUCUGGUGCCCUUUUACCAGGAAACCAAGCGCAAUGGAGAGAAACAGUACUAUAAAUGGUGAUGUAAGUAACACAGGACAAAUUAGUGACUGAUGUCUCUGCAGCACCUAUAGAGCCAAGGAAUUAUAAAAUAGGGGGGGAAAAAUCUUCUUAUAAAUGUCAUAAGAAAUUCAUGUUUCUAAAACACUUGAUUAUAGUCCUUGGUCCAUUAUUAUCUAUGUCUAUUCUAUCUAAUCUUCUUCCAUAUCAGAUGGUGCUAUGAAUUAUAGGAUUGAUGAAGAUUCCCAAGCAGUGUAAGUAAUGCUGUUCCACACAGCACCAUUACAUAUGAAAUAUACAUCUCGUGAUUACAGGCAACAUUAUAUUUUAAUAUCCUAGAGUGUAUGAAGUAGGUUACCUUGGCCUUAGCAGGGGACUUUCAGAAAACCUUGUAAGAGUUAUCCGUGUCAUGCAUCUCCAGAUUAUGUUCCCAACUCCAAAGGCCAAAAAAAGGCCCUAGACUAAUUCAUUUUGUAAGAUCAAUAUUGCAGAUAGAAGGGGAAAUGCCCUAUUUUUUAAAGCAUUAAACUUCUCACCUAUUCAUGUCUAGUCCACAGACUACAACUGAACACAAAGUUCAGCCCUGCCUUGCAUUCCAACUUACCGAGUGGAGGCUUCAGCUCACCCAUCACCCAGUCGCUUUUCAUCUGAAGGUCAUUAAAGAGAAGUAACGUCCGAACGCGUGCCAGGAAACCAUUGUGAAGUACAGCUGUUCGGAAAGUUAUUCUGCUAGCCAAAAUGUGUAUGAGGCUGACUGAAGCUCUGGAGUUUUCAAACUGAUUAUUCCUGGGGAGUCACGGUUUGUUUCUACGUAUGCUGGGAUAUUGGAAGACAUUCUGGCCAGACAUCUUGGGCUUUUCCAAAAUGUUUCUGAAACACAAACAAUCAGUGACCUACGGUUCCUGAGCUCAAAAGGGAGUAACACGCUGCAAAAUUACAUGGUAAUGCGAGACUCCAGCUGCAACACAAGAAAAUGAAUCUGGGAAUUUGUGUGCUCUGAACAGAAAAUGCCAGUUCAGCGUAUCAUUUAGUAAGUACUGUUUCUUUUAUUAAAACCAGAAUUAGCUUUACAUAGCUUUCAAAAAUCUUUAUAUAGUUCCAAAGCUUUUUUUCCUCUAUCAAGGAGAACAUGGUGUCGGGUGAUCCAGUUGGCGCUCCAAGGAGCCGGGGGCUUUGCAAGCCUUAGGCUUCCUGCCACGCAAAAAUAGCUGAACUACAAUAAUUUAUGAACUGCAGGUUCUCCGUGAUGGAGCUUCGUGCAGGUGUUGUGCGUUCAG